rnacentral:rRNA from 1 species
CUACGGGGCUGCAGUGGGGAAUAUUGGACAAUGGGCGAAAGCCUGAUCCAGCCAUGCCGCGUGUGUGAAGAAGGCCUUCGGGUUGUAAAGCACUUUCAGUGGGGAAGAAAGCCUUGGGGCUAAUACCCUCGAGGAAGGACAUCACCCACAGAAGAAGCACCGGCUAACUCCGUGCCAGCAGCCGCGGUAAUACGGAGGGUGCGAGCGUUAAUCGGAAUUACUGGGCGUAAAGCGCGCGUAGGCGGUCUGAUAAGCCGGUUGUGAAAGCCCCGGGCUCAACCUGGGAACGGCAUCCGGAACUGUCAGGCUAGAGUGCAGGAGAGGAAGGUAGAAUUCCCGGUGUAGCGGUGAAAUGCGUAGAGAUCGGGAGGAAUACCAGUGGCGAAGGCGGCCUUCUGGACUGACACUGACGCUGAGGUGCGAAAGCGUGGGUAGCAAACAGGAUUAGAUACCCCAGUAGUC